GCCCCAAUGAUAUCUCUUAUGUCUUCUCUGGAUAUGCACCACUUAGCAUUCGUCUGAUCCAGCAUGCCAUUCGAUCUGGAUGGCGUCCUGUUGAAGAAAUUUUGAAGCUGCUACCUGGACCUCACCUGGAAACAAAGAGGGGUGCAUUCUCAAAUAGCCCAUCAUUUGACUCUUUAUCAGGGGUUUCAACCGGCAUAGCCAAGUAUGGGUUUACAUCAAUCUCCA